AGAAAGCAAGGUAAUAACUAGACAGAGAUCAAGGUAAUAACUAGUCAGACGGGAGAGAGAGAGCAAGGUAAUAACUAGACAGAGAGCAAGGUAAUAACUAGACAGAGACGGGAGACAGAGAGCAAGGUAAAAACUAGACAGAGACGGGAGACAGAGAACAAGGUAAAAACUAGACAGAGACGGGAGACAGAGAGCAAGGUAAUAACUAGACAGAGAGCAAGGUAAUAACUAGACAGAGAGCAAGGUAAUAACUAGACAGAGAGCAAGGUAAUAACUAGACAGAGACGGGAGACAGAGAGCAAGGUAAAACUAGACAGAGAUCAAGGUAAUAACUAGUCAGACGGGAGAGAGAGAGCAAGGUAAAUACUAGACAGAGACGGGAGAGAGAGAGCAAGGUAAAAACUAGACAGAGACGGGAGAGAGAGUGCAAGGUAAAAACUAGACAGAGACAGGAGACAGAGAGCAAGGUAAAUACUAGACAGAGAUGGGAGAGAGAGAGCAAGGUAAUAACUAGACAGAGAUCAAGGUAAUAACUCGUCAGACGGGAGAGAGAGAGCAAGGUAAUAACUAGACAGAGAGCAAGGUAAAUACUAGACAGAGACAGGAGAGAGAGAGCAAGGUAAAAACUAGACAGAGAUGGGAGAGAGAGAGCAAGAUAAUAACUAGACAGAGAGCAAG